AGCCCACAGGCCAUUCAAUGCUAGUUAAAGUGUCAGGACUUGACAAGAGGCUUAGUAUGAAGGAGAACACUUUCAGGGGACCAAGUCAGAGAUAAGUCUGCAACCACAGCAAUGGCCCUUUAGAAAGCAUUUAAGAGGCCUGGUGCUUUUUGAGCUGCUUUGAUGACGUGGCAAUGGCUGGAGGGGAAAAGCAGCGGCACAGCUGCCUGCCAUUGGCCUGGUCUUUUUCACUGUGCUCAGUGUUGUCAUCACGAAGCCUCUCAUGCAGCGCGAUGUCAGGAUGGGCCCAUGCGCGGGUGGAAGGCAUGUGGGGGCCAUGUUGCCAGCUGCGGAUGGACAGGCUUCUGAUAUCAGGCUGUGACAGCACUGUCAUCUCCCAAGAAUCCAGCAUCCGUCUGCAUGGAUUGCAUGCCAUCCUUGAAUCCACUCACUUGCCCAGCCCCUGAACCAACUGAUGAAUGUGGUGAAGUCUUCCCUUCGUCACCCCAGGUGCAGCCACAGCCUCUGCAGCCACCCUGGGGGAGAGACAGCUCCAGAUUCCCGCAAGGAGCAAAGAGAUUUUUGACUUUGUCUUCUUUUAUUGACAUUGAGGAGAAGCUUCUGACUCAGGCGAGCCUCACAAUAAGCUGUUUUUCAACUUCAGUAGACCCGGACCUGCUAAGGUGAGGUGUUCUGGAAGGGUCUCUGCUCCUAGCAGUCACUGGCAGCUUGCCCAAAUUGGAGAAGUUUAACAUCUCUUUUCUCUGAGAAGUAAAAUGUGUUUCUUUGGUGGAUGUGAAACCAACAAACCACUGUGGUGCCUCUCUACAUCUGAAGGAUGAGCCAGCCAAGCCAGGGGAACUGACGACCCCACACACGUCUGCACUGCUGUGGCCGUGUUGAACACGGACUCCUUCUUCAGGGCAGCCUUGGGCCAUCGGAGGGCUGCUGUAUGCAGUGACGGCCACCAAGUGUCCUUGGCCAGGGGAGUGAUUUACAGGGACUGAGAUCCUGACUUGUGACCCAGACACGAAUGCAUCCUUGUUCCAUUUUGUUAUUGCUCAACCGUCAUCUGGCCAUCCCCAAAGCCCACCUCUGUGAGAAAGGCCAGUGCUUGUCCUCGUGACACCCCUGAGACCUCGAUGGAGCAAGUCCCAGGGCCCAUCAUACAUUUUUAAAGAAAAUCUUCUUUUGGUGAGAAGAUCAAAGGGCCAGGCAGAAAUGGAAAAGCACUUUCUGGCAUCAGACUUCCUCUGACUUCUCCGGUUGCCACACCACUGAAAGACUGCCCCACAGUGCGAGGGACGUCCACAUCUGCCUGGCUCUCCGAGGGAUGAACAGCCUUCAGUUCAGCUUCCUGUCACACCCCAAAAUCCACCAGGGCUCUGCAGUCAUAGAGCCCUGGAACCCAGAGGUGGAAACUUAAAGGAAUGAGUGCUCUCUCGCUCCAAAACCACAGAUAUCUGGUCCAUAGAGAACCCACCACACUUGUAUACAUUUUCAUACGUCUGCGCACAUACACAAAUGCACAAACACAUGUUCAGCUGUUGAUAAUCAUCUGAUCUUUUGCUCUUUCGAUGUAAAUAUGGCCAGAUAUCUCUGGCUUUAAUUCUCAUUAAAAUUUUGAAAGUUAUACUUUC
rnacentral:lncRNA from 1 species